GAGACUCCCGCCGCCGCCGCCGCUGCUGCCGCCACCAGCAAGUCCAAUAUUAGCAGAUCGGCAAUAACGAUGGAGAGGAUGGUAAUCCCGGCGGUCGCCCUUCGGACGGCAGUCGACCGGGAGUUCAACCGCUUGCUAUGAUGUGCGCUGACCACCACGGGGUGGUGAGGAACAUGGCGGGCAUUGGCGAUGCAGUGCUGGCAGCGGGUGGCAGUGGAGGCGCUACCGGCCCCAGUGGGCCCCUGGACUGCAGCGGGAUGGUGGAGCAGGACACAGGAAAGCUACAUAUCUCAGCCUCCCUUUCGUUUAGGCUGCGUCCAUAUGACUGGAUCAGGAUCCCAGUGCAGUGGAGGUGAUGUGCUCCACUGUUGUAACCCCCCUCAGUGAUUGUCCAAGCUCUCCCUUCCCUUGAAAGCCUCGGGGGCCUGAAGUUUAGAAAGGAGACUGGAUCCCAGAGUCACCUCUUGGAGGAAAGCUACUGAGGAAAGUUACAUGAACUACAUUGGACU